CUUUAUGGUGGCUGUGCGCAGGGCGCUUUCGAGCGCGCCGGGUUCCUUUGUGUCCGGUCUGCAAACCUGCGUACAGCCGCCACCCAA
rnacentral:antisense_RNA from 1 species